GGCGCACGGGUGAGUAACACGUGGAUAACCUGCCUCAAAGUGGGGAAUAACACCGGGAAACCGGUGCUAAUACCGCAUAUUCUGACGAGGUCUGCGGAUUUCGUCAGGAAAGGAGCAAUUCGCUAUGAGAGGGGUCCGCGGCUGAUUAGCUAGUUGGUGAGGUAAUGGCUCACCAAGGCCACGAUCAGUAGCCGGUCUGAGAGGACGGUCGACCACACUGGAACUGAGACACGGUCCAGACUCCUACGGGAGGCAGCAGUGGGGAAUUUUUCGCAAUGGGGGCAACCCUGACGAAGCAAUGCCGCGUGGAUGAUGAAGUCUCUUGGGACGUAAAAUCCUUUCGACAGGGACGAAACCGCAAGGUUGACGGUACCUGUAGAAGAAGCCCCGGCUAACUCCGUGCCAGCAGCCGCGGUAAUACGGGGGGGGCAAGCGUUGUUCGGAAUUACUGGGCGUAAAGGGUGCGUAGGCGGCUCUCUAAGUCGGAUGUGAAAACUCUGGGCUCAACCCAGAGCCUGCAUCCGAAACUGGAGGGCUAGGGUUCUGGAGGGGAAAGCGGAAUUCCUGGUGUAGCGGUGAAAUGCGUAGAUAUCAGGAGGAACACCGGUGGCGAAGGCGGCUUUCUGGACAGAUACCGACGCUGAGGCACGAAAGCUAGGGGAGCAAACAGGAUUAGAUACCCUGGUAGUCC
rnacentral:rRNA from 1 species